CACGACAGGAGCAAGUCUGGAGUGAAAAAGGGACAAAAUACUUUCAAUGGUGCAGCAGGCUAGCAAAAAGGGCUUUCUUAGUUGAGCCCAUGACCGCCACCCAGCGUUACUGAUCACCCCCCGGCACAAAGAUGCAACCAGGCGGCCCCGCUCCACCACCACCACCUCCUCCUCCGCCACCUUUACUGCCACCUCCCCCGCCGCCACCCCCGAGCGCCCUGGGUUCCAAGGGGCUGCGUCGACGCUCCAGGAUGCGCAACUUCAACUGGGAGACCAUCCCGAAGGACACCGUGAUGGGAAAGCGCAACAUCUGGACAGCGGAUCAAACGGACGGCGAUUACGAGCUGGACACGGAUCACAUAGAGGAGCUGUUCAGUCACAAGCAGGCCCAGCAGCACCUCAACGCCCUCGGCCGCCACAGUGUCAGGGGCACCCCGGCUGCAUCUGCCCCCGGGGGAGAGCUGAUGUCCAUUCUUGGCUCCAAGAGGAGCAUGAACAUUGGCAUUUUCCUCAAGCAGUUUAAGCGGCCUGUGGCGGACAUGAUCGAAGACAUCAGAGCAGGAAGUGGACUCGCUUUUGGUUGUGGAAAACUGAGGGAGCUGUUUAAGCUGCUGCCGGACGAAGGAGAGGUGAAACAGUUGCUUAAAUUCGAGGGCGACCAAUCAGCCCUCCCGGAUGCAGACCUGUUCAUGCUGAUGCUGGUCCAGAUCCCCAGUUAUGAGGAGCGUCUCAGCAGCUUGGUCCUGAAAGAAGAGUUUUUCCCCUUCAUGGCUGAAAUGAGAGGAUUCAUUGAUACUUUGAAAGCUGCUGGGAACGAGCUUUUGGAUUCUGACAGCCUUCACUCUGUCAUUCGGCUGGUGCUGAAGACAGGGAAUUACAUGAAUGCCGGCGGGUAUGCUGGCAGUGCUGUGGGCUUCCGGAUGGCUUCACUGCUCAAGUUAGUGGACACCAAAGCAAACAAACCUGGAAUGAACCUCAUGCACUAUGUUGUGAUGCAAGCUCAGAACGCUGACACGGGCUUACUGAACUUUCCUGACCAACUCCAACACAUUAAAGCAGCUGCGAGAAUAAAUAAAGGUGACAUUGAAGCAGAGUUUGACAGACAGGUGAAGAAAGUGAAAGCUGCCAAAGCAAAUACUUUAAAGCAGGAAGACCUCAAGGCUCAGAUGGAAGGCUUCCUCAAGGAUGCCGAGGCCUGCUUGGCCGAGGUGGAGCGUGAUCUCCGGGAGCUUCAGUCGAGCAGCCACUCUGUGGCCGAGUACUUCUGCGAGGACCCCAACAAGUUCAGGCUGGAGGAAUGUUGCUCCAUUUUUGACUCCUUCUGCGAGAAAUUUCUGCGAGCCAUGCAGGAGAACAAGGCCCGAGAGGUGGCGGAGGUGAAGCGACGGCACAGAAACAGGCUGCAGAGCGCCGCCAAGCGCAGGUCCACGGCCACCUGCUCCACCAGAGACAAGGAAAUGGAAGGGAUUGCCUUAGAGUCCAUCCUGCAUAACUUCCUGACCAGCAGACUCUCCAGGAGACGAUCGGGACGGCCCUCAUCCACUUACGGCUGCCCGGUCGGUGGAAGCCCUCAAACUGGGAGCCUGUCUGAGAUCACCUCCCAGGAAAACCUGCCCACGCUGAAAAGAACAGAAUCCUUAAAGGCGAAGAAAGAGUGGAAUUCAGCAGCCGAACUCACAGGAAGGUCCCACAAAGAAGCUCAGGAGACGGGUGUUGGGUCUGAGAAGGAACAAGGAGAGGAGACGAUACCUUCAGGAGAAGCAGCCUGUAGGACUACCAGCAUUUCCUCCUCUGCUCGCUCCAUCUCCACCACCACUGACAUCGACGAGGAGGACCUCCAGGACAACAACGAGGAAGAGGCCCAAAAACUGCGUGAAGCGUCUCGGAAGGUUUUGCUCUACCAGAGCAGUCGAGGCAGCGUCUCGUCUACUGAGUUUAACUCGGAAAACCCCAAAUCUCCCCAGCCGGCAACCGCCGCACCUCGACAGCGCACGUUUGACACGGAAACAGACAGAUACCCCGGAGACCCCACUAAUGAGGAACUGGUCUGCUUCUUGCUCAACUCUCCACCUUCCUCAAAGCAUAACAUCGGUCGUCGACACACACUUCCUGUCAAAGUCAAAAACAGGGAUGAGGAAGAGGAGGACGAGGUGUGGGAUCCAGCCCCUGCCACUAGAGACAAGGAGGAGAAGGAGGCGGCUGGAGGCAAGCAAGUGUUUGACUUUACGGAGACGCUACCUCAACAAUCCGCUAACAUUCCUCUCAGCCCAAACAGGGAAAACACCCAAGAGGGGAAAUCAGUGGAGCAAAAGUGUGCAAACAUUCCACCCAAGACUUCAUGGAACAAAUCGGAAUCAUCCGGACUCUUUUCUGGCUUCUUCAAGCGGCUUGGUGAUUUUGGUAGACUGCAGGCUGGCAAGGAAAGCCAGAAAGGUUUCGGAACUGACGUGUAGGAACCACCUGGAGGUGUCAGAGGUUUCUGUCUAAAAAUGAAAAAUGUCACAUAAUAUCACCUUUGAAGAUUCAUUCCUGACGGCCGCACCACGGAGGCUGGAGGUCACACAUUGCUUGCUGAUGUUGGGUUCGGACGGUUCUCUUGAACGUAGGCGGAGUGUGGUUCUAGACCUGCUGCAUGUGUGAAGUGCCUUGAGUUUCCAUCUGAUGGGAAUUGCACACCUGCCAACAUGUAUGCCUUUUUCCUACACGCCACGUAUUUUCACUCUUGAAUACGCUUCGCUGCUCUCAGGUACGCAUUUUGUCACAUUUUUUGUGUAUUCAGUUUUCUUGUUGAGUCUCCAAGAAAAACACUCGAGCUGUGGCGAUGCUGACAGUUAAGGCUGUGAUUGGUCGGCUUAUAGUGUAGUAUUUCCUGUCUGUGUACGACUCGUUCGGGGGGCGGACACCUCCGUGAACGCCUUCUCCUCCGAUUUCAAAUCUGCUGACUGCUGUAACGCAUCGGUUAGUUUCAGAUGCCAUAACACUCCCCUUCUCGCCUUAAUUGCUGUUGUUCAUUAGCACCGAAGCUAACAACGUUGACGUCACGCCACUAAGAGCUACAAAAGCAGGGGUGUCCAAAGUGUGGCCCCAUUUGCAUCACGUGGCUAAUUGUUUAUGGCACAUUGGAGAAAUAAAAUUAAAUAAAAAACAGGAAAAAAUAGACCAGAAGGCAUACUAAUAAUUAGCGGCAUGGCUCAGGUGGUAGAGUGGUCGUCUCCCAACCGGAAGGUUGCGGGUUAGAUCCUCCGUGAUUGUGUCGAAGUGUCCUUGGGCAAGCUCCUGAACCCCCAGUUGCUCCGAUGCUGCGUCAUCAGUAGGUGAAUGUGCUAGCAGUGUACACAGCGCUUUGAGUGCCUUGGAGGUUGAAAAGCGCGAUACAAGUGAAAGAGCAUUUACCAUUUCAUAAUACAUUUUAUUGAGAAGCGCUUUUCAAGGCACAAUUUUUUGGCUUCACUCUCACGAUUUUUCAAAAAUACAUAAAUAAAUAAAUCAUGCUUUUUUGAUUUUUUGCCUAAAUUAAGCAUUUUCAAGCAUAAAAAUGUCUAAAUGAAGUAGAGUAGAAAUAUAAGGCAUUCAGAAGACCCAUUCAACGACAUUGUGAUGAUAUGCAGUGUUCUACACUGGUCACUAGGUGUCAGUAAUGUUACUAUAAUGUUGGGUGAGACACACAAGUGCCAAACUUGAUCACCGGAAGAAAAGGCUUUUUUGCAGGUUUGAAUGCUCUCACAUCAGGUAUAAUCAUCCCCCCCACCUCACACACACCAACCCCAGUGUCACUUCCUGUUUACCUCCCCCACCCCCCAACUCCCAAAGCACCAGAACACAUUUACAGCAACACACACAAGCACGAGUCUUAUUUAUGUCUUAUUUUGUCUUAUCAUGUUGACUAUAAUAGGAGUGUGAAGAUGACUUUAGGGACUCUAAUAAUGUUUAAAAACAUAUUUAUAAGGUUGUAAGCAGGUUUUCUUUUUCUCUAACUACAAAAUUAUUCAAUUUAUAAAUGGUGGGGCUUGGGAGGUUCUGCAACCAAUUAACUGUGAUAAAUGAGACAUUACUAUAAAUAAAAGUGCCCUGGGCGGGUAGUAGUUAGAAGAUUUCUUCAAGGUUGGCAGGUCUGGAAUUGCUGCUAUAUAAAUAUAAUUGACUUAACUAAAUUUGAGCAGAGAAAACAGAAAACAUUUUGUCUAAAUUCUACAUGUUUAUGUGCAGGAAAGCCCAGUUUUACAAGUGUUCCCACUAGAUGGCAGCAGUCAUGAGAGAAGGAUGCAUCAGUCAUAUGCAUCACGUUUAUUAUUUGUCCAUUAUUUGACAUCUUCUGGUCGCAGCAAGUGUUGGACCCAAGAAAACUUUGACAUGCCUGUAUGUUAAAAUAGUGCUUUUAUUUUUAUACUUGCCAACCUUGCUAUUUAUUGCUGCUCUUUUGUUGUCCUCCCUGCUGUCAAAGAAUGACAUCAGAUUGUGGAUGCAUUCAGAUUCUUACUCAAUCCGGCCUUUGUCUUUGGAGGGGGGCGGGUGCUUAAAUGGGUCAGUGUUACAAAGGCAGCCUGUGUGUGACAAAGUGAAGCGUGCGGAGAGCAUUUUAGCGCUGCUGGCCCGCCAACGAAGCACCUGGUGGUGCCAUAGGAUGCAAAGUACCGACAUUGGAGCUUUUACUUGCAUGCAAUCAUUUGGGAAUGUUCCAUUAGAGUUGGGGUCAGCCCGUUUAUACUGCAGUAGAACUUCAUUAACUUGGCUUAAAUGUGCUUCAUUGUAAUAAAAUGUUCAUGUUUUAUGCUGUAAUUCAGGGGUGUCCAGAGUGCGGCCCGGGGGCCAUUUGCGGCCCGCGGCACAUUAUAAAAAUAUAAGUUUAACUAGGAAACUAAAAAAAAACAACAGCAAAAAUGUUAGUAGCAUAGAGUUGAAAUAUUAUUAUAUAAAAAGAUGUUAUUUUUGGAAAAGUCAGAAUAUUAUGAGAAACAAAAUAGAGAUGACAUUUUUGGAAAAGUCAUAUUAUGAAAGCAAAAUUUAUGAAGAUUACUGAAGAAGAAAGUUGAAACAUUUGGAAAAAAGAAGACAGCAAAAAAAGGGGGAAAAAAGAGCAAAGAGCGGCCACACAGGAGAUUUGGAAGAUCUGGGUUCGAAUCUCCAUUUGGACAUUUCUGUGUGGAGUGUGCAUGUUCUCCCCGUGCACAUUCCAAAACAAAACAUGCAUGUUAGGUUAAAUUGGCAGCUAUAACUUGUCCAUGAGUGUGCAUGGUUGUUUGCCCUGUGAUUGACUGGCGACCAUUCCAGGGUUUACUCCGCCUCUCACCCAAAGUCAGCUGGGAUAGGCUCCCGCGACCCUAGUGACUAUACUAACAAUAGACUUUGUCACCUAUGUGACAAAGCUGAGACACUUAUGCUUAUGCUAUGCUAAGAAGUUAUAUACAUAUAUAUAUAUAUAUAUAUAUAUAUUUAUAUAUAUAUAUUGCUAUUUAUUGCUGCUCCAUAGCGUGUUGCUGUACAAAAUAUCAAGGUGGCAAAGUUGCAUCUUUUCAUUUUUCACUUAUGAAGCCCUCAGUGGAAAAAGUUUGGACACUCCUGCUGUUACUAAAUCACAUUUAAUGUAAAUCCUCUCAGGGUGCAUAGCUAACAAUCGUUCUGAAUGGUGCUCAUUUUCACAUAUUUCUGAAUAAAUCAUGUUUCCAUCACGUGCUGUGUUGCAAUGUCAAAACAGAGCAUUGUCAUCUUUGUAUGGGAUGAAUUGUGAUGUUUUGUGUACCUAAGGAAGUGUGUAAUGUUGUUAAACGUCACCUUUUCUUCCUCACCUUUCAUGUGUAUUGUCAGCGCUGUCCAGACUGCGGUAGCCAUAUUGACGGAGGCAGUCUCCAUGGUAACGCCACGUUGCAGAAUGGCAACCUGUGUGUGUGUGUGCGUGCGUGCGUGUGUGUGUGUGCGUGUGUGUCCGCCCCUCACCCAAAGGCCCCUCCCCCCCAAGGAGCAGCCAGCUGCCUCCCUUCUCCCUUCCCCACAACGACAACGCUCAAAAAAGUGUUUUUUGUCGUUGAUACUUUUUGAGAAUGUGUUUUCUCUUUCAGGCCCUCUUGACGUCCGGAAUACGCCCAAGUUGAAUAAUUCAUCAAGAAGCUGAUUGGACAGCAGACGGACCGUGCCCUUUCCUUUCUGUGAACCUCCUCUGUGGACUCGGAGAGGACUCGUACCAUAGCCAGCUUCCACCUGGGCCUGCGAUGCUGACACCUCCGCUCCAUUCCUUCAUUCCUCCAUUCCUGCUGUUCUCCGUUGGU